CCCAGAAAAGCCAGCAAUAAAGAGGACAUAAAUGUGCAUAGAUCAGAUCAACAUGUUAUACAAAAAAGAAAGUAGAAGAAAGUCACCAUCCGCAGUUUAAUGCACCAAAUUUAAGUCGCUAUCAUUUUGUAAGUAGCCAAGAGGUUGCGAACAAAGCUCUAUUCAAAGUUCAAAGAAUACUUCUGAACUAGUCAACAUAAAAGGCGGUGAUGAAUCAUCUAUGGUUUGGAAAGUUAAGCGACGACCAGAUGGAUCUCGGUACAUUGUGAAACGACCGGUGCGUAAUCGCACAAUUCAAAAAAAUAUUCGGGGAAAUGAGCUACCUACUGAAGAGGAAACAAUAUCAGAAGAGAAAAUUGGUCGUUGUUGGACAAAGGAUGAACGGAAAAGGCAUAUAGAACGGGCACGAGAGCGG